GACAGGAGGGGCAAGCGUUAUUCGGAAUAAUUGGGCGUAAAGGGUCCGUAGGCGGUGAAGAAGGUUGUCAUUGAAAUGUUCAGCUUAGCUGAUCGCAGGUGGCAAAACCACUUGACUAGAGUGCAAUAGAGGAGAAUGGAAUUCCCGGAGUACGGGUGAAAUCGGUAGAUACCGGGAGGAACUCCAGAGGCGAAGGCGAUUCUCUGGGUUGCCACUGACGCUGAGGGACGAAAGCGUGGAUAGUAAAUAGG
rnacentral:misc_RNA from 1 species